rnacentral:rRNA from 1 species
CCUACGGGAGGCAGCAGUAGGGAAUAUUGCUCAAUGGGGGAAACCCUGAAGCAGCAACGCCGCGUGGAGGAUGAAGGUUUUCGGAUUGUAAACUCCUUUUGUCAGAGAAGAUAAUGAUGGUAUCUAACGCAUAAGCACUGGCCAACUCCGUGCCAGCAGCCGCCGUAAUACGGAGGGUGCAAGCGUUACUCGGAAUCACUGGGUGUAAAGUGCGCGUAGGCGGGUUAGCAAGUCAGAUGUGAAAUCCUAUGGCUUAACCUUGGAACUGAAUUUGAAACUGCUAUUCUAGAGUAUGGGAGAGGUAGGUAGAAUUCUUGGUGUAGGGGUAAAAUCCGUAGAGAUCAAGAGGAAUACUCAUUGCGAAGGCGACCUGCUGGAACAUGACUGACGCUGAUGCGCGAAAGCGUGGGGAGCAAACAGGAUUAGAUACCCUGGUAGUC